rnacentral:rRNA from 1 species
UUCUUUUUGUUUUUAUAAAAGGUAUAACCUGCUCAAUGAUUUUUUUAAAUAGCCGCGGUUUACCGUGCUAAGGUAGCAUAAUAAUUUGUCUUUUAAUUGAGGUCUGGAAUGAAAGGUUGAACGAGAAAUUAACUUUUUUAAUAAAAUUUAUUUAAAAUUUUUCAUUUAAGUCAAAAGACUUAAAUAAUUUUAUGGGACGAUAAGACCCUAUAGAAUUUUAUUUCGUAAAUUUUAUAUAAGUUUAUAUUAUUAUAUAUAAUAUUGAAGAAAUUUGGUUGGGGUGACUUUUAUUUUAAAAAAACUAUAUAACAAUUCAUUCAUUUAUUUAUGAUUAAUUGAUCCCUAAUUAGGAUUAAUAGAAUAAAUUACCUUAGGGAUAACAGCGUGAUCCUUUUGAGGAGUUCAUAUUUAUAAAAGGGAUUGCGA